GAUGAAGAACGUAGCGAAAUGCGAUUAGUAAUGUGAAUUGCAGAAUUCAGUGAAUCAUCGAGUCUUUGAACGCACAUUGCGCCCCCUGGUAUUCCGGGGGGCAUGCCUGUCCGAGCGUCAUUGCCGCCCUCAAGCACGGCUUGUGUGUUGGGCCCCCGCCCCCCGGCUUCGGGGGGCGGGCCCGAAAGGCAGCGGCGGCACCGCGUCCGGUCCUCGAGCGUAUGGGGCUUCGUCACCCGCUCUGUAGGCCCGGCCGGCGCCCGCCGGCGACCCCAAUCAAUCUUUCCAGGUUGACCUCGGAUCAGGUAGGGAUACCCGCUGAACUUAAGCAUAUCAAUAAGCGGAGGA
rnacentral:misc_RNA from 1 species